GGCAAACAUCAGACAGCAAGUGUGUGUGGCUCUUGCACAUGAGAGAUGUGCCUGCACAUAGAUGUCACAUUAAAGCAGAUGGAGACAAUCAGUAAAGAUUUCAAAUGAAAACUCAUCUCCUGCACAUUUUCUUACUGUUGGAAUUACCUGUUUAGUGAGUUUUCUGUCUUCAUACACCACUGAACUUUGUUUCCUUCUGAACAUACAAGCAACCAGCCAGGUACAGAAUAGAUGACAUUUUAAUAUUGUUCACUUUGAUUAGUAGUGCAGCUUCUGCAGAAAAUUCAAUCAAGGCAUCAAUUUUAGACUGUGAUGAUGAUAAUAAAUUCCCUAUUUAAUAGAAUUUAUGUUUUUAUGCUUUUUGACAAGACAUUUUAAUUAAUCAGUAUAAGUGCUAAUGAAAUAAUGAAGUGGUUUGAACCAUAAUUGUAAUAAUAAUUGUCGUCUGCUAAGUACCAUGUGAGAAACAAUAGCAGGACUUACCAGAUGGAUGCAUAAAUUAAUGUGGCUUCCCUGAGUUUAUGGUUUUCAGCUUUUUUUUAUUUUGUAUUUCCAUUUGUGCUAGGAAUGUGUCACAAAAUGAAGUAACGUACAGCAUGAAAGUCCAGUGCAGAAAGCUAAUGCUUAAGUUGUGUAAUUACAGUCAGUAAAUGAUGUGAUUUAUAAGUGUAAUUAGUUCUUACUGAAUGCCUUCCUCUAUGCCUUGAAAUGGGAGUCUAGUUCAAGUGGGAAUACAUUUGUACACAAGAUGUAGCCUUUUGAUGCAGUCAUGGCUUUGAGAAACAGAGGAGAUGAGUUAUCUGCCUUUUCAUGAUGUGCAGGGCUUCCAAUCUCAGUCAGUCUCAGAACAAAGCUGAAGCCACAGACAUUCCUCCUUUAGUGUUUGCACUCCAUUUGUUGCUUGGAGCUGGGGAAAGUUGCAGUCAAGUUGGUGACUUGUUACCAGUCUCCAUGAAUCUGGCAAUGUUGGCUGUUUGCUUCUGGUCGAUUCCACUUGAGUGCAAGCACUGUCUAAUUAGACAUGAAGAGAUUUGUUGGAUGAUAUUCCCUUUGCUCGCUGGGUCGAUGCUCCGAGCAGGAAUCUUUCAGCAGAUAUGGACGCUGACUCAUGGGACUCCAGCUGAUGAGGGAUUGUGAGGGUUGUGCAUCUGCUGUGCUCAAGGUCGUGUCAUGGGUUCAUGUGUUUGUGGGAAAGCACAGAGCUGCAGGCAGCUGCCCGGAAAAUGUGCACUGCUGCCACGUCUGCUCCUUCUGAAACACCACAGACUAGGCACAGCAAAGAUCCAGAGGAGAAUCCCAGCCCUGCAAAUGCAUGGAAUGCAGACUGAGGCAGAAGUGUGAAAGUGCAUCAGCUGAGGUCUCUGAUUGAGUGAGUCAUCAUUCACAGCAAUGAGACUUGUCAGGUCUCAGUGAGGAAAGGCCCGGAGGGCUCUUCAGAGAAAGAGCACUCACUAUUGCUACCACAGUUCAGUUCCUUGUCAGCCUCUUGCUAGAGCUGCAGCUUAGCCUUGAAACCAUGACUUGCAAAUGUUUGCAAAAAUAAACUGCAUAAGGAAUUAAUACUUGGGCAUUUUGUAGUUCUGAAUCUCUUGUCUUUGCAGGAGUUUGAUUUUCCUGCAGUGUAUUUCUAUUUCGCAGCAAACUGGACUUUAGGGUAAAAGCAAGUUACCAGAUUCUGCCUCUGGAAUGAGUGUAUGUUGUCUGUCAGAUUCUGUGAGAACUGCUGGCAUUGAGCUGAGGGCUGAAUAUUUGGGAUUGACCCAGAAGAACAAUUUCAAGUCCUGCUGUUUUAUUCAUUGGGACAUAAUCUAGACAAACAUGAUUUGCAGAGGAUUUUUUUUUUAUUUAAUGAGAUUCUUUAGGAUGUAUUUUAUAUUUGGUGAAAUAGUUGUUUGAAAAAUGAUGUGCAACAUAAAUACCAUUUCUGAAUUUGACUUCAGCUGAAGAAGACACAUGCAGAGGAGAUGGGGAAAAAAAAGCAUAGUGGGAAAUCUGAUCUUAAUCUACUCCUUUGCUGGGUUCAUGCUUUUUAACUCAAGAGAUACCCUUAAGUAAUAGAAGUUUUAAAACUCACAUUUUUAAAACAGUUAACUUAAAUCAUUUGAAUAAACACGUUUAGCCAUUUCUUUGCAACUUACAUCUGCCAUGGUGUUUGGUUCCCCAACAUUGCUAUUAAAGCAAUUGCAGGCUAAUUUAUUCCACACCUACCUGAGUCUUGUCAGUUCUGAGAAGUCAAGCAAGUCGACAGCUUAGUUUUUAUUCCUUUCCUGUCACAGAGGCAGAGAAAUAGCCCUGCUGCUGGGCUUGUUCAAAGAUGAAAUUGCUCUGGAGUCUCAUUAAUAUAGUGAAUCAAUAUGUUCUCCUGAACUGGCAUGUUUUGUGUACUUAGUCUCUCCUCCCUAGGAAGACACUAUUAUUUAGGAAUCAAAUCUAUCCAGCAAACUAAAAUUAAGCUAUUUCCCCCCUCUCUUUAUAUAUUUUUCCAGCUAAAAAGUAUUCCAAGCAGCAUUCUAAAUUAUUCAAAACUCUCUAGUCUGUGGAAUUUUCAAUCUGAUGAAAACAGCUAAAAAAUAAAAACCACAUGCUCCACUGGCUCUGCAUACAAGACUCUGCAUUUUAAUCCAGAGCUGCUGCAUAUGCUGUAGCAUGUGCCUCUAUCAUUUGGUGUUGACAUCUGCAUUAUGAUGAGAGGAAUUAUUCAAAGCUAAAUUACUAUUCAGGAUGGUAGUGUGAAACAAUGAAAAUGAGAUUGCUAGAGGGGAAAAUAUAUGCAACAGUUUGUAUAGUUAGGGAAGAAAAUCGGAUUCAUUUGCUGAAGUGCUGGUUUCCUCUUUAGCAGACUUUAACCCCUUUACAACAGCUAAAAUAAAGCUGUGACAUGUUUCAUGACAAAAUUCAAAUACUUUUUCAACUGAUAUAGUUGUAAUAUUUACGGGCCAAAUCAGAAAAUGUCCUACAAGUAGAAAAUGCUUUGUUUAGACACACAUCUACACUUUGUUGGAACAGUGGGAAUAAUUUGCAUCAAAAAGUAAAAUACAACCAAAGAAUUACCACCUUUCCUUUUAUUAAGCUGUGAAUGCACUGAUCUUCCUUUUUCGGUGU